GACGAACGCUGGCGGCGUGCCUAACACAUGCAAGUCGAACGGAAAGGCCCUGCUUGCAGUGUACUCGAGUGGCCAACGGGUGAGUAACUCGUGGGUGAUCUGCCCUGCACUUCGGGUUAAGCCUGGUAAACUGGGUCUAAUACCUGAUAGGAGCCAUUUUUAGUGUGAUGGUUGGAAAGUUUUUUGCGUGUUGGAUGAGCUCGCGGGCUAUCAGCUUGCUGGUGUGGUUAUGGCCUACCAAGGCGGCGACGGGUAGCCGGCCUGAGGGGGUGGACGGCGACAUUGAGACUGAGAGACGGCACAGACUCCGACGGGAGGGAGCAGUGGGGAAGAUUGAACAAGGGGCGCAAGCCUGAUGAAGCGAGGCUGCGUGGGGGAUGACGGCCUUCGGGUUGUAAAAUACUUGCGCUAGGGACGAAGCUUUUUGUGACGGUACCUAGAGAAGAAGCACCGGCUAACUACGUG
rnacentral:rRNA from 1 species